UGGACAUUCUAUUUAAAACAUGACAUUGGCUCACAGCUUGGACUCAUUAGUGGAUCAAGCAGCUACUUGAAAUGCAUACAUUUUAUUUCUAUUUUUGUGGCUAUUACCACCUUUCCUCACAGGCCCUGUUUCCUUUUGU